rnacentral:piRNA from 1 species
UGAUUGGGGCCUGGAGCAGAAGCUAUGGGA